AGAGUCCUGAGGUGUUCGUGAAGCACUGAUCGUUUUGAGCCAACACUUUCACAUUGGGAGCCUGUCGUCUUGUUCUGGAGUACAAGCCUCAAUGUUUGGGGAAGUAUGAACGAACAAGCAAGGCACCCACCUGCCAUGAGCAGGUUCAAAAACAAGUUCGUUUGACGGCACAUUGGGACUCUU
rnacentral:other from 1 species